rnacentral:rRNA from 1 species
CUACGGGGGGCUGCAGUGAGGAAUAUUGCACAAUGGAGGAAACUCUGAUGCAGCAAUGCCGCGUGGAGGAUGACGCAUUUCGGUGUGUAAACUCCUUUUAUGAGUCAAGAAAAUGACGGUAGCUCAUGAAUAAGCACCGGCUAACUCCGUGCCAGCAGCCGCGGUAAUACGGAGGGUGCAAGCGUUACUCGGAAUCACUGGGCGUAAAGGACGCGUAGGCGGGAUAUCAAGUCAGGUGUGAAAUCCUACAGCUUAACUGUAGAACUGCACUUGAAACUGGUAACCUAGAGUAUGGGAGGGGGAGAUGGAAUUAGUGGUGUAGGGGUAAAAUCCGUAGAUAUCACUAGGAAUACCUAAAGCGAAGGCGAUCUCCUGGAACAUAACUGACGCUAAGGCGUGAAAGCGUGGGGAGCAAACAGGAUUAGAUACCCUUGUAGUC